rnacentral:tRNA from 1 species
UAGACAGAUGCUUGCCGGUUUAAGCGCUUAGCUGUUAACUAGGAUUUUGUAGGAUCGAAGCCUACCUGUCUAG